CAUAUUUAAAUUAUGACAUUAAAAAAAUUUUUUUAUCUCUUAAAAUUAUUUUUCAAAAAAACUGUAAGGGGACCCCCUUGGUGAUUUUUUUACCUUUUGUAUAAGGAGAAUUAGACUUAUGGGUGUUUAUGCUUAAUCUAGAAAAAAUAGGAUCUUGUUUAGGCCAUUAAAUGUAGAACUUUGUUUAAGCCUUAAUAAGGAGUAAUACGCUCUCGUCUACUUUAAUAUCUAGAAAAAAUUGUAAAAAAGGGGUAAAUACUUUAUUAAUCUUAUUAUCUGGCUUGUUUUUUGUCUUUAUUAGUGGGACUCUGUGUUAUAACUACACUAAAUUUUAAAAGAUUAAUUUUUCUAUCUAAAACUUUAAAUUAAUUAAUUUAUUAGUAGGGUUAAAUUUUAUUCUUUGAUUUUUUUUUAUUUAUACUUUUUAAACUUUUAUUUUUUACUAAUUACUUAUUAAAAUGUUUAAUAAAAGCUUAGCUGUAGUAUUUACAGUCUCUUCUGCCCUAUGCUCUAUAGUAAAUGGCUGUGUUUCACACUAAGGUAGCAAAAUCAUUAGCUACUUAAUUGGUAACUCGUAUGAAAGGAGAAAUUAAUAAGUUAUUAAAUUCUUAAGCUUAACUUAUAUUUUUGUUGAAAAUAACAAAACUAUCCUUAAGACAAAAAGACCCUAGAAUUUUUAUCCACUUUUGUGGAUUUAGUUGGGGCAAUAAUAAAAUAAAAAUAUUUUUAUUUUUACCUUAUAAGAACUUUUAAUAAAGAAAAAUUGAAAAAUACUCUAGGGAUAACAGCUUUAUCUUUUUUUAUAGCUCUUAUUACUAAGAAGGAUUGGGACCUCGAUGUUGGAUUAAAGUUCCUACUAGGUGUAGCCGCUUAGGUAGGUAGAUUGUUCAUCUAUUAAAUCUUUACAUGAUCUGAGUUAAAGUCGGCUUGAGCCAGACUGGAUUUUAUCUAAGGAUUAAAUUUUCUACAACUUAGUACGAAAGGACCUGUUGUUAAAGAGAUUUCUUU
rnacentral:rRNA from 1 species